GCCUCUGUAGCUCAGUUGGUUAGAGCGCUGCGCAUGUUCGAUUCCUGCCAGUGACC
rnacentral:tRNA from 1 species